UACGGGGGGAGCAAGCGUUGUUCGGAUUUACUGGGCGUAAAGGGCGCGUAGGCGGUCAGCACAAGUCAGUUGUGAAAUCUCCGGGCUUAACCCGGAGCGGUCAAGUGAUACUGUCGUGCUAGAGUGCGGAAGGGGCUACUGGAAUUCUCGGUGUAGCGGUGAAAUGCGCAGAUAUCAGGAGGAACACCGAUGGCGAAGGCAGCUCACUGGGACGGUACUGACGCUGGAGACGCGAAAGCGUGGGGAGCAAACAGG
rnacentral:rRNA from 1 species